GGUUCGGUGGUGUAGUGGUUAUCACGUCUGCUUUACACGCAGAAGGUCCCGGGUUCAAUCCCCGGUCGAACCU
rnacentral:tRNA from 1 species